UACGUAGGGUCCGAGCGUUGUCCGGAAUUAUUGGGCGUAAAGAGCUCGUAGGCGGUUUGUUGCGUCGGCUGUGAAAUCCCGAGGCUCAACCUCGGGUCUGCAGUCGAUACGAGCAAACUAGAGUGUUGCAGGGGAGACUGGAAUUCCUGGUGUAGCGGUGAAAUGCGCAGAUAUCAGGAGGAACACCGGUGGCGAAGGCGGCUUUCUGGUCUGCUCUUGACGCUGAGGCGCGAAAGCUAGGGGUAGCAAACGGG
rnacentral:rRNA from 1 species